rnacentral:rRNA from 1 species
CCUACGGGGGGCAGCAGUGAGGAAUAUUGGUCAAUGGACGAGAGUCUGAACCAGCCAAGUAGCGUGAAGGAUGACAGCCCUAUGGGUUGUAAACUUCUUUUAUAAAGGAAUAAAACGAGCCACGUGUGCCUUUUUGCAUGUACUUUAUGAAUAAGGAUCGGCUAAUUCCGUGCCAGCAGCCGCGGUAAUACGGAGGAUCCGAGCGUUAUCCGGAUUUAUUGGGUUUAAAGGGAGCGUAGAUGGUUUGUUAAGUCAGUUGUGAAAUUUUGCGGCUCAACCGUAAAAUUGCAAUGAAUACUGGCAGUUUUGAGUACAGUUGAGGUAGGCGGAAUUGUGGGUGUAGCGGUGAAAUGCUUAGAUAUCACGAAGAACCCCGAUUGCGAAGGCAGCUUACUAAGCUGUGACUGACAUUGAUGCUCGAAAGUGUGGGUAUCAAACAGGAUUAGAUACCCUUGUGUC